rnacentral:rRNA from 1 species
GGGUUAAGUCCCGUAACGAGCGCAACCCUUGUCCUUAGUUACCAGCACGUUAUGGUGGGCACUCUAAGGAGACUGCCGGUGACAAACCGGAGGAAGGUGGGGAUGACGUCAAGUCAUCAUGGCCCUUACGGCCUGGGCUACACACGUGCUACAAUGGUCGGUACAAAGGGUUGCCAAGCCGCGAGGUGGAGCUAAUCCCAAUAAAACCGAUCGUAGUCCGGAUCGCAGUCUGCAACUCGACUGCGUGAAGUCGGAAUCGCUAGUAAUCGUGAAUCAGAAUGUCACGGUGAAUACGUUCCCGGGCCUU